GAUGAACGCUGGCGGCGUGCUUAACACAUGCAAGUCGAACGGAAAGGCCCAAGCUUGCUUGGGUACUCGAGUGGCGAACGGGUGAGUAACACGUGGGUGAUCUGCCCUGCACUUCGGGAUAAGCCUGGGAAACUGGGUCUAAUACCGGAUAGGACCACUUCUUGGAUGUUGUGGUGGAAAGUUUUUUCGGUGUGGGAUGAGCUCGCGGCCUAUCAGCUUGUUGGUGGGGUAAUGGCCUACCAAGGCGUCGACGGGUAGCCGGCCUGAGAGGGUGUACGGCCACAUUGGGACUGAGAGACGGCCCAGACUCCGACUGGAGGCAGAAGGGGGGAAUAGUGCACAAGGGGCGCAAGCCGGAUGCAGCGACGCCGCGUGGGGGAUGACGGCCUUCGGGUUGUAAACUCCUUUCGCGAGGGACGAAGCGUUUUGUGACGGUACCUGGAGAAGAAGCACCGGCUAACUACGUG
rnacentral:rRNA from 1 species